GAUGAACGCUGGCGGCGUGCCUAUUACAUGCAAGUCGAGCGAACAGACGAGGAGCUUGCUCCUCUGACGUUAGCGGCGGACGGGUGGGUAACACGUGGAUAACCUACCUAUAAGACUGGGAUAACUUCGGGAAACCGGAGCUAAUACCGGAGAAUAUAUUGAACCGCAUGGUUCAAUAGUGAAAGACGGUUUUGCUGUCACUUAUAGAUGGAUCCGCGCCGCAUUAGCUAGUUGGUAAGGUAACGGCUUACCAAGGCAACGAUGCGUAGCCGACCUGAGAGGGUGAUCGGCCACACUGGAACUGAGACACGGUCCAGACUCCUACGGGAGGCAGCAGUAGGGAAUCUUCCGCAAUGGGCGAAAGCCUGACGGAGCAACGCCGCGUGAGUGAUGAAGGUCUUCGGAUCGUAAAACUCUGUUAUUAGGGAAGAAAAAAUGUGUAAGUAACUAUGCACGUCUUGACGGUACCUAAUCAGAAAGCCACGGCUAACUACGUG
rnacentral:rRNA from 1 species